rnacentral:rRNA from 1 species
GAUGAACGCUGGCGGCGUGCCUAAUACAUGCAAGUCGAACGGAGACAGUAGCAAUAUUGUCUUAGUGGCGAACGGGUGAGUAACGCGUUGGUGACCUGCCUCAGAGAGAGGGAUAACAGUUCGAAAGGACUGCUAAAACCGCAUGAGCUUGCCGGGACUAGAAGCCGGUAAGGAAACAGCGAAAGCUGCUCUGAGAGGGGCCUGCGUCCCAUCAGCUAGUUGGCAGGGUAACAGCCUACCAAGGCGAUGACGGGUAGGGGACCUGAGAGGGUGGCCCCCCACACUGGCACUGAAACACGGGCCAGACACCUACGGGAGGCAG